CAGCAGUAGCCGCGGGAAUACGGAGGGUGCAAGCGUUAAUCGGAAUUACUGGGCGUAAAGCGCACGCAGGCGGUUUGUUAAGUCAGAUGUGAAAUCCCCGAGCUUAACUUGGGAACUGCAUUUGAAACUGGCAAGCUAGAGUCUUGUAGAGGGGGGUAGAAUUCCAGGUGUAGCGGUGAAAUGCGUAGAGAUCUGGAGGAAUACCGGUGGCGAAGGCGGCCCCCUGGACAAAGACUGACGCUCAGGUGCGAAAGCGUGGGGAGCAAACAGGAUUAGAUACCCCUGUAGUCCCUGUCUCUUAUAC
rnacentral:rRNA from 1 species